AUACCGGCGGGAUUUGUAUGUGAGCCCAGCGGAUGGGAUGCCGGCGGUCACAAUAGCGACGCCAGCAAUCCGAUGGUCAAGAUCCCGACAGAGUGAGAGGUUCUUUAACAUGCACCUGAGUGGAGGCAGACAUUUUGUUCACUGGACCGUGCAGCCUAUCCUGGCAUCAGUGAGACACUUUUACGCCAAAUAUUCAUGAGGCACCUUGUAACGGUUUCUAGGAAACUACUGUAUCAUUAACAUUACCUUCACUGUCUGUAGAUGACUCCUGAAAUUUAGUUGCAGUAGACCCCUUAUUGCCAAAGAUUGUUUUUGAGAUGUUACUAUAUUCAACUUACCUAAUUUUAGCUCACAUGUUUAUGCCUAUUUUCACUCAUGUAUGCAUCACACAGCACUGUAACAGGACGGUAGUGCGCCCUGUGCCUGACCCUCCCCCUAAACAUGUGACAUUAUGGGGCGGGGCUGCCAGCUCUCGGAACUAAAGCUCUGCCCGGAAGUUCCGGAAUAUCCAAAUAACACUUCGGGGAGCUCCACAGGCUGCUGCCCAGGCACCCUGCAAGUGACAUGCAGUUGUUGUAGGGUGCCCCCCUUGCAAUGGCACUGCUCACACCCCCCUAUUUAUGGUCCUGGUAUCUAUACGCGCACAUUUUGUGUGUUUAAGAAGUAAAGAGUUAUUUUAGAGGACAUCUCUUUGCAGUUGCAUGACGAACAUAAUAUCAGCUCUAGCCGCCCUCUCCUCCCCUUCCUCAGACGUUUCUACUUUUACUGUAAAAAUAACUCUUUAAAGGUAUUUUGAUUUGCAUGGACUUAAUAGUUGAAACUAAGGACCACAGUAAAGUUGUUGGCAUUCAUUUGCCCAUUUGCUCUCACGCCCAUCUGCUGGAAUGGCAAAAUGCCCAGCUUCAAGGUCUCAUUCCGAAAGAACACUAGAAAAAAUAUUUUAACCAAUCAAAGCAUUUUUUGGACCUGUAUGUAAAUGAUUCCUCUGGUAACAACCCCCACCCCAGAACAUGGCAGUGGUCCAGAUCACCAUCACAUACUCUAUCUUCUAAAUUGUUCCAUUAAAAUAACACAUAUAUCUCUCUAGAUGUAUUAAGCCAAUGAUCGUACUCGUUUCCUGAAUAUCACUAAUGCAUAUAACUUUGUCCUCUGUACUUGAAGUGAUCUAAUAAAGUUUCAAAUGUUUCAAAAAU